rnacentral:misc_RNA from 1 species
GAUGAAGAACGUAGCGAAAUGCGAUAAGUAAUGUGAAUUGCAGAAUUCAGUGAAUCAUCGAAUCUUUGAACGCAUCUUGCGCUCCUUGGUAUUCCUUGGAGCAUGCCUGUUUGAGUAUCAUGAGCAAAUCUCAAAGUCAAUUCCUUUUGUUAAUUCAAUUGGUUUUGCUUUGGACUUGGAGGUCUUGCAGAUUUUCACAGUCUGCUCCUCUUAAAUGCAUUAGCUGGAUCUCAGUAAUUAUGCUUGGUUCCACUCGGCGUGAUAAGUAUCACUCGCUGAGGACACUGUUAAAAAGGUGGCCAGGAAAAUACUGAUUGAACCGCUUCUAACGGUCUAUUAAGUUAGACAAUUACCCUUAAGUUUGAUCUCAAAUCUGGUAGGACUACCCGCUGAACUUAAGCAUAUCAAUAAGCGGAGGA